AAUGUUCUUCUUCCUCUACCCAGCGCCGGCCUCGCCGCGGCCGCGGGGGGCGGGCGAGCACGCGAUUGGCUGAGGCGCGCGCGCUCACCGGAACGCUGCGGCCGCCGCUGCUCCGUCCGGCCCCUCGGCGGCGGCGGCGGCGGAGAGCGGCCGCGCUCUGGGGUCCGCGCCGGGCCGGCGGGCACCGCCGUCAGGCGAAAUGGAAUUUAAAUGGCGCGGGGUAAAGGGUUGGUUGGUCGUUUUAAAAACCUCGGAACCCCGGACACCGUUAUUCGGGUGCAAAGCCGCCUCUUGCGGGGGCCGCGAGCUUCUCGAGGCUGGGUGGCGAUUGUCUUCUCGCCGUGACAUCCUCCACCCCGGCCUCCUGCCCGGCUGAAGCCCCUGCGUUUGUUGAUUGAAGAAGCAGUCCCGCAGCAGAGCGCCUGUAGGUCGGCAGUUUGUUGAGUGGGUGUUAAACUGUUCGUGCCCUGCUCCGUUCCGAUGGUUUGUUAUUUAAGUUUUAAAGGUCCGAGGAUGCCCCAGCUUCUGGCAGUAUCAGAUAAAGUGUGGGAACCCUGUCAAACCUCUCAUUUAUGGUCCUUUAGCGAACGUAUGAUUCAAAUCUUGUGAAGUCCACGCCUCUUCCCUUCGCGGUUUGGAACUCGUAAACAGUGAUACGUAAAUGUAUAUAAAGCAGCUCUUGGCAAAAUUGCUUAAAUAUAGAAAGAAAAUUGCUUCUCUUGAUCUGAUGAAUGUUGGGUUGUGGGUUUUCCUUAGAUAUUUCUCUUUUUUAUGUUAUGCCUUUAACUUGCUUUGGAAGGUGUGGACCACUUAUCUUAGAAGCCCUGAAGUGUUGAGGCUAGACUCUUAUUGAUAAUCAUGCUUUGUAGGCUGAAGAUCCUCUGCUAAUUGAUUUUUUUCUGCACUUUUGUUGUUUGUUACAAAUAAAUACUGACUCCAAGAUGGAUGGGUUAACCUUUCUUUCUUAAACAGUAGCCAUUGGGGCUUUUAUCAGGAUAACCCCAACUUUGAGUAUUUUGUCCAUAAUCUUAUACUUCUAUUUGAUAGGAAAUGCUUUAAACGCACCCAUUUUCCCCUCUUCCUUGUUUUUACCUUGCAAGGAAAUAAGUGGAGAAGAGAGUUAAAUUUGUAAUGUCGUGGUGAACCACAGAUCCUGAAGUUGGAAGGGGCCUCAAUAGAUGACAUGAUCCAAUCGUCUUCUGGCAGGAAGAUUUUACAGGAGAGGAAGAGAUAAGAGAAAGACCGCCCUGGUGGAUUAGUGGUACAGGAACACCGUAAGAGUACGCUCCUGAGCCCUUUCCAGAAUGGCUUUUACUGCAAGUCAUGCCCCUUUAGCUUCUGACCUGGGGCUUCCUGGGCCUUGAAAAGGCAUGGAAUUCAAAAAGAUCCCUCUAAGACCGAUGUCAAAGAGUAUACUGCUGGGCCGGCCCCGUGGCUUAGCGGUUAAGUGCGCGCGCUCCACUACUGGCGGCCCAGGUUCGGACCCCGGGCGCGCACCGACGCACCGCUUCUCUGGCCAUGCUGAGGCCGCGUCCCACGUACAGCAACUAGAAGGAUGUGCAGCUAUGACAUACAACUAUCUACUGGGGCUUUGGGGGAAAAAAUAAAUAAAUAAAAUUAUUAAAAAAAAAAAGAGUAUACUGCCUAUAUUUUCUUCCAGGAGUUUUAUAGUUUCAGGUCUUACCUUCAAGUCGUUGGUCCAUUUUGAGUUAAUUUUUGUGUAUGGCAAAAGAUAAUAAUCUACUUUCAUUCUUUUGCAUGUGAUUGUCCAAUUUUCCAACCAUUUGUUGAAGAGACUUUCCUUUCUCCAUUGUAUGUUCUUAGCUCCUUGGUUGAAAAUUAGCUGUCCGUAGAUGUGUGGUUUUAUUUCUGGGCUUUCAGUUCUAUUCCAUUGAUCUGUGUGUCUGUUUUUGAACCAGUACCAUGCUGUUUGGAUUAUUAUAGCUUUGCAGUAUAUUUUGAAGUGAGGGAUUGUGAUGCCUGCAACUUUGUUCUUUUUUCUCAGGAUUGCUUUAGCUAUCUGGAGCCUUUUGUUGCCCCAUAUGAAUUUUAGGAUUCUUUGUUCUGUUUCUGUGAAGAAUGUCAUUGGGAUUCUGAUUGGGAUUGCACUGAAUCUGUAGAUUGCUUUAGGUAGUAUGGACAUAUUAAGUAUGUUUAUUUUUCCCAUCCAUGUGCAUGGGAUGUCUUUCCAUUUCUUUAUGUCAUAAUCAAUUUCUUUCAAUAAUGUCUUAUAGUUUUUAUUGUAUAGGUCUUUCACCUCCUUGGUUAAAUUUAUUCCUAGAUAUUUUAUUCUUUUUGUUGUGAUUAUAAAUGGGAUUGUCUUCUUGAGUUCUCUUUCUGUUAGUUCGUUAUUAGAGUAUAGAAAUGCAACUGAUUUUUAUAAGUUGAUUUUGUACCCUGCAACUUUGCUGUAGUUGUUGAUUAUUUCUAAUAGUUUUCUGAUGGAUUCUUUAGGAUUUUCUAUAUAUAAAUUCAUGUCAUCUGCAAACAGCGAGAGUUUCACUUCUUCGUUGCCUAUCUGCUUUCCUUUUAUUCCUUUUUCUUACCUAAUUGCUCUGGCAAGAACUUCUAGUACUAUGUCAAAGAGUGGUGAGAGUGGGCACCCUUGUCUUGUCCCUGUUCUCAGAGGAAUGGCUUUCAGUUUUUCCCUGUUGAGUAUGAUGUUGGCUGUGGGUUUGUCAUAUAUGGCCUUUAUUCUGCUGAGGUACUUUCCUUCUAUAUCCAUUUUGUUGAGAGUUUUUAUCAUAAAUGGAUGUUGGAUCUUGUAAAAUGCUUUCUCUAUAUUUAUUGAGAUGAUCAUGUGGUUUUUAUUUCUCAUUUUGUUAAUGUGGUGUAUCACAUUGACUGAUUUGCCGAUGUUGAACCAUCCCUCUGUCCCUGGUAUAAAUCCCACUUGAUCAUGGAGUAUGAUCUUUUUAAUGUAUUGCUGUUGUGGGAGAUCAAAAUUGGCCACUGUGAAAUAUAUCUCUUUACCUUGAUUAUUUUCUCUGAUGGACAUUUGACCUCCCCCAAACUGCCUAAAGAAUUUAACAUAGAAGACCUGUUCCAGGAGGGAGUUACUAUCAUAUGAUGGCUGUAAUAUAAUGCAAAAUAGAUGUUACAAUAGGAAAGGCACCAACAAGCCCCUCUUAUCAAAAAUUCCGUCUCUCCCAGGCCACAUUCUCUAGGUGGCCCUACAAGGAGUUGGCAGACAAACAUUUACAUUUAUAAGGGAAAUCUCUGUUUGUAAAGGUAUCUCCCUCUGUGUGCUGGGAAGGGGGGGUGGGGCAUGGCCUUGUCUCUGGAAACUCUUAUCAGUAUGGAAGGAAAAGACUUAAAUCUACAUACUCUUGAUUACUGUGAUUUCUGUCUCUCCGGCCACAUUCUUUACAGGUGGCCCUGUAAAGAAUUGUCUGACGAGGGCUGGCGCGUUGGUGCAAGCAGUUAAGUGUGUGCGCUCCACUGCGGCGGUCCAGGGUUCGCCGGUUCAGAUCCUGGGCUCACACUGAUGCACCACUUGGCAAGCCAUGCUGUGGCAGCGUCCCAUAUAAAGUAGAGGAAGAUGGGCAUGGAUGUUAGCCCAGGGCCAGUCUUCCUCAGCAAAAAGAGGAGGAUUGGCAGAUGUUAGCUCAGGGCCGAUCUUGCUCGCAAAAAAAAAAAAAAAGCAGUUGUCUGACAAACAUCUACAUUUCCCUCUUCAUGUAAAUUGUCUUCUUCCCCUCUGAAAUCCCAACACACUACCCACCCCCAACAUCCUCCUUUGUCUUUAGCUGAAGAUAGUAUUUAAGAUGAGAAUCUCUGCUAUUAUGUGGACAAACUCAGUUUCCCUGGUUUCUCCCAUGUAUACAUGUUAUUAAGCUUGGUAUUGUUUUCUCCUGCUAACCUGUCUUUUAAUUAUUUGGCCAGCCAUAAUAACUUUAAGGGAACGGGCGGAGGGGGAUUCUCCCUCUUCCUCGACACUGUAUUCAGUUUGCCAAUAUUUUGUUGAGGAUUUUUGCAUCUAUGUUCAUCAGUGAUAUUGGCCUAUAAUUUUCCUUCUUUGCAUUGUCCUUGUCUGACUUUGGUAUCAGGGUGAUGUUGGCUUCAUAGAAUGUGUUAGGAAGUGUUCCAUCUUCCUCUAUUUUUUGGAAUAGUUUGAGAAGGAUAGGUAUUAAAUCUUCUUUGAAUGUUUGGUAAAAUUCUCCAGAAAAGCCAUCUGGUCCUGAACUUUUAUUUUUUGGGAGGUUUUUGAUUACUGUUUCAAUCUCUUUACCUGUGACUGGUCUAUUCAGAUUCACUAUUUCUUUAUACCUGUAUUUUUAAAAGAGCUGUCUAAUUUAUGCCUAUAAUAACUUUCAUAAUUAUACAUGUUGGAAUAAUCAAGUCUCAUGCUUGGGGGCAUAGCCAAUUACUGUAGCGAUCAAGAGGGAAUUUAUUAUCUCAUGUAUGCUGCUCACAGCAGGGUGGCUCCAUUACAUAUUCAUGACUUCUAGGGUAGUGGUGUUAAAGGUUAAGUACAGGCCACUGGAUUUGAAGGGCCACAGAUUUACUGGGGAUGGCAGUUCUUUUAAAUCCUAAUCUCCUGCUCAUAUCUUGUUACUUCAGAGGCCUUCUAAGGAACAUAUGGCCUGUUGCCUACACUUGACCACAAGGCAGAUGUUUGGAAACAGUUCUUGGUGAACGUUCUAGAUGCACUUUCCCUCUCAGUCCACCUUUGGAGAGAACAUGAAUUACACUUUUGAAGGUGAGAUCCUAAUUUUGAAGAGACAUUGAGGUCGUUUAGGGCAGUUCAUUUAGGGCAGUUAACACUUGAGUGGGGAAUCUUUAUCUAAACCAGAGGAGUAGUCACUGCUGAAAACAUGCUUUAGGACCCCCUGGCAUAAAACAUGUUGUUAUUUUAAACUUCUGUAAUAUUUGCAACUCUCAGCUCCUGGAGAAUUUUUUAAAUUUAUAGUUUACAUAUACAAAUAAUAGGGUUUUCCCUUAAUUGCUACUGUAUCCAUUUCCUGAUCAAAAGAAUUUGUGUAGCUUUAGCAUGCAUUUUGUACUUUUUUCUCCUUGCAAUAUUUUUGAAACAUUCAAAAACUAAAACUGGAAACGUGUCAUUACAUUUGAA